AUUGAACGCUGGCGGAAUGCUUUACACAUGCAAGUCGAACGGUAGCACGGACUUCGGUCUGGUGGCGAGUGGCGAACGGGUGAGUAAUGUAUCGGAACGUGCCCAGUCGUGGGGGAUAACGUAGUGAAAAUUACGCUAAUACCGCAUACGAUCUAUGGAUGAAAGCGGGGGAUCGCAAGACCUCGCGCGAUUGGAGCGGCCGAUAUCAGAUUAGGUAGUUGGUGGGGUAAAGGCCCACCAAGCCAACGAUCUGUAGCUGGUCUGAGAGGACGACCAGCCACAAUGGAACUGAGACACGGUCCAGAAUCCUACGGGAGGCAGCAGUGGGGAAUUGUGGACAAUGGGCGAAAGCCUGAUCCAGCCAUUCCGCGUGCAGGAUGAGGGCCCUCGGGUUGUAAACUGCUUUUGUACAGAACGAAAAGGUUUCUACUAAUACUAGGAGCUCAUGACGGUACUGUAAGAAUAAGCACCGGCUAACUACGUGCCAGCCGCCGCCGUAA
rnacentral:rRNA from 1 species